UUCGGUACAUCGGUGACAGGUGGUGCAUGGUUGUCGUCAGCUCGUGUCGUGAGAUGUUGGGUUAAGUCCCGCAACGAGCGCAACCCCUAUUGUUAGUUGCCAUCAUUCAGUUGGGCACUCUAGCGAGACUGCCGGUAAUAAACCGGAGGAAGGUGGGGAUGACGUCAAAUCAUCAUGCCCCUUAUGACCUGGGCUACACACGUGCUACAAUGGUUGGUACAACGAGUUGCGAGUCGGUGACGGCGAGCUAAUCUCUUAAGGCCAAUCUCAGUUCGGAUUGUAGGCUGCAACUCGCCUACAUGAAGUCGGAAUCGCUAGUAAUCGCGGAUCAGCACGCCGCGGUGAAUACGUUCCCGGGCCUU
rnacentral:rRNA from 1 species